GGAAAAUUGCCCGUACAAAGUGGCCCAUAAAGACACGCUCCCUAUUAAGAUGAGGCCAAGCCGACCGCUGUUCUAUCGGUUGCGCACCAAUAGGAUCCACCUGCCUGGCUGCCAGCAGUCCCGGGAGCAACGCACCUACGAGCAGUGGUCCUACGAUACGGAUGCAUUUGAUGCAUCGAGAACGGACUUAUCUUCUGCGCAUGCGCGGGCUUGAACCUACCGCGCAGAUCGAUCGGCGCAGGAUCGAUGGACGCUUACCGAUCCGUGACGCGCCGAUUUUACUUAUUAACUGCGACGUCCCGGCGCGGAUCGUGGCGCCGGAAGGAUCAUCUGUGAGAAACGCUAUCUGCUAGAUAUUAGCAUAUACAUAUGAGUGUGUCACGGAUGGAAGAACCGAAAUUUUCGCAUGGCGGCCGUCGACACUGGAUCGCGUUGAAGAGAAAAGAGGAUUUAAAUAAAAAGGUUAUUAUUUAUUUCUUAGCCUAUCAUGCACAGCAAUUAAUAACCAUCGCCAGCGGCGGAUGCAGCAGUGAAUACAUGAAGAUUACCCUGAAGCUUAAGACGUUGGUCGCCUGGUUUUACCUUCGCAUGCAAAGCGUGCCGACAGAUAUCCAAACUGCAUAAAUUACGUGGCUAUGUAUUUGCAAUGUAUUGCCAAUUUUUUUUUGCAAUUGGAUAUAAUCGAUGCGACAGUACUUAUCUGUCUGACCCGCAUGUACAUAUGUACGUGACGUUUGACCACGCUUCUGUCAGAUCGUUUAUUUUCUAAUAACUGCUCGUAUGUGCGUCUGCAAUUAUUUAUGGGACUCGCGGCAGGCCGAUCGAUAUCUGAAAUAACCAAAGCGUCAGCACGGAUCGUUAAGGAUAAUAUGUCGAACGAAUUGGUCGAGUGUUAUUUUAAAAGUUUUAUCUUCUUCCCUUUAUAUCUUCAUUUUAUUUUAUUUUUUUCUUCCUUCAGCCAGUGCAGAUACCCGAGAUCGGUAAUUACUCAUACUCGUGGAUGAUGCAGGUUCCGGUCACCGGGCGGAGAUAUUAGCAGCGAUAGUCAGUCGUGCCACCUGCCAAAACUGAUAUGCAAUUAAUGCUAAACGUUCGUUACGCACGCAAUCUUGGCGCGCAACCCCAUAUAACGACGAUAAAUCAAGCGUGGCGAGGCGCGAGUCGAUUUUAUUUCAUAUAUAACAGAGAUGCAUUACGAUGCACCGAUGCACCGUGCUUCCACACACGUGCUUUCUUACAUAUAUGGCUCGUGCGUCACUACUGAACAGAGACUAGCUGUACUGGCAUGUAUAUUCUUUCAGAGAAGAAUUUUUCUUUAAAGAUGCACCGGUGCAUCGCGAUGCAUCGACUUUAGGAAUGGAAGUCGAAAGAAGUGCAUAGCUCUGAUAAUGACGUUGCCACGUGGGCGAACCCUGGGAAACGAUAUCAGGACGCGCUCCAGGGUUUACCUUUUUAUUUUUGCGUUAUUCGUUAGACGGCGAAUGAAAAAGAGGAUAAUAAUAGAACAGCCACGGGAACUCGUAGAAAAUUCUGAUCUAAUUAAUGCAAUUUGUGCAUCGGCUGAGAAAUCGCGUCGUGCACCUUCUGCAUACAUAAAUAUAUAUAUACGAGCGCGAACAGAGAAGUCCUGCGUAGACCACGAACGAAAUAUGCAUAAAAGGUGCAUUUUCAUAAUGCUUAGUAUAAAUGUGCAUUUAAAAAAAAAAUUACAAAUUUUACUACCUCAGUCCACCUUUGCGACUAACAACGCGAAAUUCGCGGGCUUUAAUGCAGUAAUUAAAUUUUGUAUAAUUGUUAUUCUGAAAAGUGCAUUUCGCACGUACCUUUAUUAGUGGUAAAGGCUACGUUGCGUAUGCGUCAGAAUUCUCACUGACGAGCCUCCUCCCCCUGUGUCGCCCGCGCGCAAUUGCAAUUACGUCACGGGCGUCUACGCGAGCGAAAAACAUAAAGGCGUCGCUCUCGAAUUAAGUCCGAUCAUUUUGGCGAGCGUAAUUGCGUCGACGUAACGCAUCCCGGUCACGAAAAGGACGUGUGGCCUCGCGACGCCGCCUUGUAAACGUAACGCGGCUCAUGUGCUGCGCUUCUGCUCUCUUUUUUUCUCUUCCUUUUUUCUUGCACUUUUUCAGUUAGAAUGGCCCACUUACCGACCGAUGCAAUUUCGUGCACGCAUGCACGUCGCCCGUGCACCUUCUUGGAUUUAUCACUUAAUAAUACCAGCUACGCGCAUCAUGCGCAACACGUACGUGUAUGCUAUAUAUGGAUAUACAUACGAUAUGGCUUAUAGAAUUUAU